AUUGGAGCAUUUCUUCUCAGCCUAUUGCAAAAUUCUCUCAUUUUCCCUUCACUCUUCUGCGCAAUUCUCUCAUUUUUCCUCGUCGUAGUCGGAUGCUCUCCUCGCAGCUCUCCAUUCUUUGAGAUUGCAUAGAUGGAUAAUGAACCAUUUUCCUGCCCAUUUUCUGGAAAACAAACCAAACACACAAAGAUGGAUUUCUACUCUGCAGCCAAACACAAGAAAGGAAAAUGUUUUCUGGAAAUCAUUUUCCUGCUUUCCAAACACACCCUAAGAGGAAAAGAGACUGGAUUAGAUGAGUGGUGGGAUUUAAAAGUUAAGGAAAAUUCAAAAUUUGAGGCAUUUCGAGAAGAAGAAUUUGAUAUUGAACUAGAAUGUAAGAUGGAUCAAAUUUUUGAAUUUUGUGCCCAAGGAGUACUUAAGUAUACUCCAACUCCCAUGGAUGAGAAUGAUGGUGUUAGCAGAUGGCAUGAUGCAACUUAUUAAUAUUAUAUCGUUAUAGACUUGUGUCUUAAGUGCUAGGUGACUGGCCAAAUGUUUUGCUCCAUUCACAUGGGUGGGGAUUGAACCCCAACCUCAUGCUUAAGGGACGAGGUGUUGAACCACCACGUUAACCAUGUUGGUUAUAAUGCUAAUUUUUGUAUACAUAUACAUAUAUUUUGUAUAUUUGUUUGUGUGUAGGUAUGGACAAUAUUGAUAGGCAAAUUAGGAAAAUUCUCCUAAUUAAUGAGUACUUGGAAGAUGAAGAUGACUUUUGGGA